rnacentral:tRNA from 1 species
GCCGAGGUGGCGGAAUAGGUAUACGCGCACGUUUGAGGGGCGUGUGCCGCAAGGCGUAUGGGUUCAAGUCCCAUCCUCGGCA